rnacentral:rRNA from 1 species
UACGAAGGGAGCUAGCGUUGUUCGGAGUUACUGGGCGUAAAGGGCGCGUAGGCGGUUUAGUAAGUCAGAUGUGAAAGCCCUGGGCUCAACCCGGGAAUUGCGUUUGAGACUGCUAAGCUUGAAUUCGGGAGAGGUUGGUAGAAUUCCCAGUGUAGAGGUGAAAUUCGUAGAUAUUGGGAAGAAUACCCGUGGCGAAGGCGGCCAACUGGACCGACAUUGACGCUGAGGCGCGAAAGCGUGGGGAGCAAACAGG